rnacentral:RNase_P_RNA from 1 species
GGGAAGGUAGUUGGCUGACGGUGACGAAAGUCGCUGAGGAAAGUCCGCCCACCCCUGCACGUCGUGCAGGAAUGCGCCACCUUUUGGGGUUCAGUAAUGGACGGCUCCAUCACAGAAACGGCACGGCUGUUGGUAAAGCAUGAUAAGGCAGUGCUUCUGGCAACAGAAGAAUUCCUUUGACGUUUCCAACCGCGCGUUGAAACGGAUGGCCUGGCAGGUGCAAGCUUAAACAGCGCUUAGUUGAAUGCCAACACAGCUGGCGAAAGCCGCGAUGUAAUAUCAUCGUUACGCUGACAAAAGGCGGCUUAUUCCUUCCC